rnacentral:rRNA from 1 species
CCCUUAGAUGUUCUGGGCAGCACGCGCGCUACAAUGGUCUUCGCAAACGGAUGCAUUCUCGAAGGAGAAUGCCAAUCUUGGAAUCUAUGCCUUGGUCGGGACAGUUGCUUGCUAUUUUUCGACUCGAACCAGGAAUUCCUUGUAAUCGUGAUUCAUCACAUCACGAUGAAUACGUCCCUGCCCUUUGUACACACCGCCCGUCGCUCCUACCGAUCGAAGAGUUAGGUGAAUUGUUUUGAUCGAUAAGAUUUGACUAUGGUCAACUCUCGUUGUGAAAUUCUGUGAAUCUGACUGUUUAGAGGAAGGAAAAGUCGUAACA